UUUUUAGUUCUAUUCUUUCUGUUUGGAUUAACAAGUCUGGCACAUAUUAACAUGGAGAUGAAUGACAUCACAGACUGUGUUUCAUGUUUUUGAUUUAAGAAGAUUGCAAUGAAAUACAACUGCAAGGUUCCACGACCAACCAUACUGCUAUUACUAAGCCUCCAUACGAAAUCCUCUUAAGGCUCCAGUUUUUGACAUUUCAGAAAUAAAAUCAAUAUGAAC